ensembl:lncRNA
CGCCGGGAUCGGGGGGGUCGAGGCUGAGGGGAGCUGCGGGGAGCGCGGGUUAGAAAGGGGGCGGCGAGGAGGUACAGCGUCUGCCGGGAAAGGUCAGCGGUCCUGCUCCUGCUAAAGCUGUGCUGCAACUUCUCUGCGCGUGUUUUUUUCCUCUAAGACUGGAGGUUGCCUUUAUCCUACGAGCCUGCGCUGUGUUUAUCUGCCAGCCGCGCAGAGGCUGCAGCCGCUGGGCGAGCAGGCGCUGCUCAGGGCAGGCUCGGCGCCGCGGCUGCUGUGAGGCUCGCACACGCCUCUGCUCGGGGACAAAGACAAGUGCGUUGACAACCAAACUCUCCCGCCACGAUCUCURUGGACCAAACUUCUGCACUGGUGUGGACGAGAAUAAAUACGAGAAACGCUGUCCAUUGCUGUUUUGCUGCUGUAACGCCCUCGGGGUGGCUCUCCCAGGUGCCCAUCCUGCUCUCCGCUGCGAGCUCCCUGGACACGUCCGCUGGCCACGCACCUUCUCAAGGCAGCCGUGCAGUGCACUCAGGCUCCUCCAUCUUAAGUAAAAACGAAGCAAACAGAUUAGGAAGGAUAAUGUGGUUCCAGGGUAAAACUCCACUUGCUCUGUUUAUGUUCUAUAACUCUACGCAGGGCCUCCAAAUUUAGAUAUUUGAAAUUAUGUGUAACUAGGAGGGGGUCACAGGUGACUGACAAGUUCAACCUACUUAGCUCAAUUAUCAAAGUUUUAUUUCCAAAUUGCGUUCAAUUUGAUAUUCCUGCCUCCCUGCAAAUUAUCUUAGAGCGAAAAAGAUCAAAUGAAAGCAGACAAUUUAAGCCAAAUCCUGUAUACCAUUAUUUAUAUGCAAAAUCAUUUUUGUGAAAUAUACUCCCAUUAAUGGUUAUGGGGAUGCCAGAUCUUUCCAAGUGGAUUUACAAACCUAGCCAUCAAAUUAUUUCAAAGGCAAGCCUAUUAGGGACAAAAAUAAUUAUGAACUUUCAGAAGCUUUGUAAAAAAGAAGUUUCUGAAUGUUGUCUCUUUAAGUUUUACUUAAGUUUUGUUUUUAAUUUAAGCCUGGAGGCACAGUAGAGAGAUAUGCAGAGUCUAAUAAGGAGUUUGGAAAAUAAUGUGCUGUAAUCCGGGGGUGAGCUAUUUCUCCAUAAAAUAUGGAUAAGGAAUCAAUUCAUAAACACAAAUAUCUACUAGGAACUGAGUUUUAACAUAACAUUUCAUAUGAGCUUUCUUACAUGCAUUAUUAAGGAGAUAACAAAAGUGCUUGAAAUCAAGCUCUAUACAGUCACAUCUGGAAAUGCUUUUUUUCUGUCUAGGUUUCAUUUUUUUCCCCCAGAAAAAAAGUGUUAGAAGAAAAACUAGACUGUCCCCUUGUAUAUUAACUGUUACCAUCAGCUUAAUCAGCAACAUGUAUAGCUGGAUUUACACAAUCCAUUUCAUGUUGCCUCUUUUAGAAAACAGUAAAAUGAAGAUAGUAUCUUUAUUCAUUUAUAAAAUUUGAUGAUAAAACCAAAAACACGCACAAAUAAUAUACACAUUGCUUUAUGCUUUAUGCU